AACUCCAACCGCUUUGAAUGCAUGAAAAUAGCAUCGGAGUAUGGCAAAUACAAACCUACCACCGCAGCAAAAACACCAGAAUCGCAAAGCUGCCCAAAGAAAAUAUCUAAAAUUCAUCAACAUUUAUCUAUUGAAAUACCCGAGAUGACUUCUUUAGUACCGAGUUUCACUUCGUGGCAACAUUUAUCGAGAAAAAAAAAAAUCUCUUUUCAUUACACUCAUGCUUAAUCUUCAUGAGCCUUUUGGUUUCCUCCCAAGACUUAUGGAGAACAAAACUGUUUGUCAUAAUAUUUGCACGAGUAAGUUUUCGACUUCCAAGAAAAGUUUCUCUCUGCUUCACGCUCAUGCGUUUGAGCCUUUUGAUGACCUCCUAAAGCAUUGUUGAGAACGAAAAUGUCUAUCACAAUAUGGGUAAGUUUUCAACUUCGAAGACUUAUCUUCAAGUUUCUUUUCAUUUUUGAGUUUGUUAUUAGCUCAACUUAGCGAGAUGAACCCACAUCCAAUUUCUUUGUUGGUGGAAAUAGUAAUAUUCUUGCAUCCUGGACCAGGGGAUCAAAACAUCCCUGGAGAGGUCGAUGAAAUCAACGUGGGUAAAGUUUGAAGCUUGUUAAGAUUUUGCAACUUCCUUCUCCUUCAUCUUUACCACCUUGUUGUUGUUAUAAACAAAAGAGGAAAAAAAAACAUAUGUAUGAACAUUUUGUUAUGGAAAUCACAAUUUAUAUUCCGACAAAAAUUUGAAAAGUAGAUUAGGUAUAAGCUCCUCAUGAACAUUAGACCAUACCUAGCAAUACUCUCUUUUGUGCACUCUCUCUAGCACUCACUCUUUAUUGAGUGAAAUCAAUGUAUGUCCCACCACUUUAUGUGGGUUCCAUUUCCAAAGUGUA
rnacentral:lncRNA from 1 species